rnacentral:rRNA from 1 species
UACGGGGGGGCAAGCGUUGUUCGGAAUUACUGGGCGUAAAGGGCGCGUAGGCGGUUCGCUAAGUUGGAUGUGAAAACUCUGGGCUCAACCCAGAGCCUGCAUCCAAAACUGGCGGGCUAGAGUUCUGGAGGGGUAGCGGAAUUCCUGGUGUAGCGGUGAAAUGCGUAGAUAUCAGGAGGAACACCGGUGGCGAAGGCGGGUCUCUGGGCCGAUACUGACGCUGAGGAGCGAAAGCGUGGGGAGCGAACAGG